rnacentral:rRNA from 1 species
CGGCAACAGCUCAAAUUUGAAAUCUGGCCCCCCGGCCCGAGUUGUAAUUUGCAGAGGAUGCUUCGGGCGUGGCGCCUUCCUAAGUCCCCUGGAACGGGGCGCCUUGGAGGGUGAGAGCCCCGUGCGGUCGGACGCCGCGCCCGUAUGAAGCUCCUUCGAC